UACGUAGGUGGCUAGCGUUAUCCGGAUUUAUUGGGCGUAAAGAGGGCGCUGGUGGCUUUGUAAGUCGGAUGUGAAAUCUCCUGGCUUAACUGGGAGCGGUCAUUCGAUACUGUGAAGCUUGAGAGCAUCAGAGGGAGAUGGAAUUCCCGGUGUAGUGGUGAAAUGCGUAGAUAUCGGGAGGAACACCAGUGGCGAAAGCGAUCUCCUGGGGUGCUUCUGACGCUUAGGCCCGAAAGUGUGGGGAUCAAACAGG
rnacentral:rRNA from 1 species